rnacentral:rRNA from 1 species
GCAAACCAGGGUAAUAUACAGUUAUUUUCUUGAAACCCAAAGAGUUUGGCGGUAUUUCAGUCUAGUUAGAGGAGCUUGUUCAGUAAUCGAUAAUCCGCGAAGAAUCUUACACACUCUUGUAGUCAGUUUAUAUACCGUCGUUAUUAGAUAAUACUAAAAGGUUGAUAAUUAUCUAAAUAUAUUUAACUAUAGUAUAUCAGAUCAAGGUGUAGUUUAUGAGUGUGAGUCGAAUGAGCUACAAUUUAAUAUAUAAAUAAUGAAAAUUGAUUUUAAAUAAUCAGUGGAAGGUGGAUUUAAUAGUAAUUAUAAUUUUAGUAAGUUAGAAUGAUAUU